UCCGAGAUUCAAGAAAUCCUUGCGUUUGAGGCUGCAAAUUCAAGGGCAAACAAGGGGAAGAUGGUUAUGGAAGAUUCAUCACAUGAGCGCGACGACACCUCUAUAAGCAGCGGGGACUAUGAUUCAGAGCUCGACGAACGCAUGUAUUUGCCCGAACGAGGUGGAUUCAAGUAGCAAAAAUAUCAUUCCCUGCUUCAAUCUCCAAGUUAGAAAUGAUAGAAUAUUUCGAGUGUCGAAGAUGAAGAUGGUUGUUUAUAAUUGAAGAGGUUAGGAAAAGAAGGUGGUGAACCCAAAUUUUAGCUUAGAAAUAGAAAAUAUAUGCAUAAGAGAUAGAUAUAUAUACAUUGUGAAGAUCAUUAGUGUGUGUUGUAUAAACUUAUUACAAUUCGAUAGCAUGUAGGAUAUGCCAGCUUAAAUUGGAGGUUCACUACUUAAAUAUUUA